UAGGGAAUCCUCCGCAAUGGGCGAAAGCCUGACGGAGCAACGCCGCGUGAGUGAAGAAGGAUUUCGGUUCGUAAAGCUCUGUUGUUAGGGAAGAAUGAUUGUGUAGUAACUAUACACAGUAGAGACGGUACCUAACCAGAAAGCCACGGCUAACUACGUGCCAGCAGCCGCGGUAAUACGUAGGUGGCAAGCGCUGUCCGGAAUUAUUGGGCGUAAAGCGCGCGCAGGUGGUUUAAUAAGUCUGAUGUGAAAGCCCACGGCUCAACCGUGGAGGGUCAUUGGAAACUGUUAAACUUGAGUGCAGGAGAGAAAAGUGGAAUUCCUAGUGUAGCGGUGAAAUGCGUAGAGAUUAGGAGGAACACCAGUGGCGAAGGCGGCUUUUUGGCCUGUAACUGACACUGAGGCGCGAAAGCGUGGGGAGCAAACAGGAUUAGAUACCCUGGUAGUCCACGCCGUAAACGAUGAGUGCUAAGUGUUGGUCUCAUAAGAGAUCAGUGCUGCAGCUAACGCAUUAAGCACUCCGCCUGGGGAGUACGACCGCAAGGUUG
rnacentral:rRNA from 1 species